GGAGGAAAGGGGCAUUGAGGGUUUGUAUAGGGAGAAUUGAAAUUUAAAUAGGGUGGCAGUAGAAGACUUUACAUAUAGGAGACAUUUGAGCAAAAAUCAUACACAGUUGAUGAGCAAGCCAUGUGGAUAUCGGGGGCACUGAACACUUCCUGUCACCAAACGUUCAGGGAGGGACAAUGAGGCCGUUGUGGGAGCGAGGAGAACAAGGAGAGAGGCACAAAAUAUGCCUUGAGACCGUUAAAGGGAUGGGAAUGGGGAAGAUCGUUUGGUCUUGCAGGCAAUUGAAAGAACGUCCCCUGAGGAAGAGGAGAAGCCACGGACACCUUUAAACAGAGCAACGAGUUGUAUCAUUUUAAAACAUCAACUUUAAUUCCCACGUUGAAAAUAACUUUCAGGUGGGAACAGGGAAGCAAGAGGCUUCUCCGUAAUAAUCAAGGUGGCACAGAAAUGAGGAGGAAAAUACGUGGAGCCUGGUUCAGGGAUCAAACACAGUCAUCACAGAAAUAAACAUGAAGUGUUCUCCUGGCCAGGAAGACAAGGGAGAUCUCUGAGGAAGUAACAGUAGAGUUAAAAUUUGAAGGUAAACAGCAGUGAUAUCAUUCCAGGAGAAGAAAGCAGAUAGUGGAGGGAGCACAGGACUUGAAAUGGAAGACAGAUUUCAAGCCAGCAUUUCCACUUGUGAGCUGUGGAAUUAACUGCACUUCAGUCUCUAAAGACUGUAAGCCUGUGGGCACUGUACUUUUCUGAGCCUCAGUUUGAUUUUGUUGUCUUUUGUUUGUGAGUUUAUUGUUAUUAUAAUCAAAUGCAUCUCAUAGCAAUCCUGGGAGAAAUAUAUUCGAAAGCAGUUUAAAGCGCAAAAUGCAAAAUGAAAGUUAGUUAUUAUUGAUAGCAGUAAGUAGAAAGUGAAGCUGGAGUUUGAGAGAGGAAAUUGUUAUAUCUGUGGAGUAGAUAUCUUUGUUACCGUUUUGUUCAAAUGAGGAAAACAGGUUUUAGAGAGGUUAAAGGUUAUGCAUUUAAUUAGAAAACAUGCAAAUAUCAGUAAAAGUCACCUUCGUUCAUUUGGCUGCUCCAAUCAAAAGACAUGGACUCAACCUUGACUCUUAUAUACAUGUAUGAAUAUAUUUAGUUUUUUAUAUAUAUAAACAAAAUUUAAUCCAAAUCUUAUAAGCUGUAUCCUCAAAAUAUAUCACACAUUAACUCCCUCGCAUCACCCCCAUCUGCCUUAUGCCCAAACCAUCAUUGCCUUGUUCCCUGCGGCAGCCAAAGGGAUUUUUUAAAAUAAAACUGACAGCCUUGCAACCAUACUUGAAAUUUCCAAUGACUUCAUCUUACACUGAGCAAAAAACGUCAAUCUUAAUUUUGUCCUAAAGGAUUGAAAGCAAGUCUCCUCACUAACUCCCUUGUCCCUGCCCCUGAUUCCCACCACUUCAGCCUCACUGGUUUCCUUGUACUGUGUACAUGGCAUUCUAAACUGGUCUAAAAAUAAUCUUUUAAUUAAACCUGAGCAUCCCAUUAAAGACAAAACAUACACUUCUGCUUUCUAUAUUUUUAUUAUUUUACUCUUCUUUUUCCUCUUAAUAAUGCUUUUUGCUAUCUGACAAUGCAUUCUAAUCUAAUGUAUGUCAUUGCUAGUUCUUUCUUCCUCCCACUAGAUUGUAAAUACCCAGGAACAAGGAACAAUUUAAUCUUGGCUGGUUUUCCAGCACCUUGGAGAGCACCUACCUCAUAGUAGGUAUAUUGGGUAAACAUUCAUUGAAUGAACAAAUUAGAAGAGCUGGAUAUUCAAACCCAGGUCAGUUUCACUCCAGUGCUCCUGUUCAUAACCAUUUUUGCACACUACUUUUAGUAGAUAUAUCAAACUAAAUAAAAUAAAUUAAAUACAGAUAUUCUCAGAUCUAAGGAAGUAUGUACCAUCUGGUAUGAUAUGGGUGUUGCCUUGUUACAAUUUCCAUUUAUAAACUCAUCCAAUUAAUUACAUGACAAGUUGAAGAAAUGGAACUAGCCAGCUGUCUCAUAAAUGUGCUUCUUUCUUGGCAUUGAUAUUCAAAACUAAAAUAUACCUGUCCUACCUCUAUCUAUGAGAGGUUUCUAAAAAGUAAUUUGUGUUUAGUUUUUUUCAUUAUGGAGCUUUUACUUCUUCAAUACUAUAUUAGAUAACUUAACAUUUUUCAUAUUGUUAAAUAGCAAAUACUAUUAAAUAAAUUAUUAAUUAAACUAAUUUUGUGCUUCAGAAAGAGAUACAGGCGAGCUUUCCUUUAUGCAUUUUUAAAAGUACAUGUGUUUGUAAUUUUGCCAAAAUACUGAUAUACUGAAUAUACAGAAAUAUGUCAAAUGUAACUAGGUUGCUGUAACAUAUGCUUUCAUAAAAUGAUUUUUACAUAUUAUUUGUUCAGACAGCACAAUACUUCUUUUAGUUAAUUAAUGUAUGCUCACUCAGUUUAAUUAAAGGACAACUGAAAGCAGGUUGGGGCAGGG